UACGGAGGGUGCAAGCGUUAUCCGGAUUCACUGGGUUUAAAGGGUGCGUAGGUGGGCAGGUAAGUCAGUGGUGAAAUCUCCGGGCUUAACCCGGAACUGCCGUUGAUACUAUUUGUCUUGAAUAUUGUGGAGGUAAGCGGAAUAUGUCAUGUAGCGGUGAAAUGCUUAGAUAUGACAUAGAACACCAAUUGCGAAGGCAGCUUACUACACAAUGAUUGACACUGAGGCACGAAAGCGUGGGGAUCAAACAGGA
rnacentral:rRNA from 1 species